UGACCAUUGCCAAUUUAUGCUGGAUUAC
rnacentral:piRNA from 1 species